UACGGAGGGUGCAAGCGUUAUCCGGAUUCACUGGGCUUAAAGGGUGCGUAGGCGGGCAGGUAAGUCAGUGGUGAAAUCCCCGAGCUUAACUUGGGAACUGCCGUUGAUACUAUCUGUCUUGAAUACCGUGGAGGUGAGCGGAAUAUGUCAUGUAGCGGUGAAAUGCUUAGAUAUGACAUAGAACACCAAUUGCGAAGGCAGCUCGCUACACGAAUAUUGACUCUGAGGCACGAAAGCGUGGGGAGCAAACAGG
rnacentral:rRNA from 1 species